rnacentral:rRNA from 1 species
AUGAAGCAUCAAGUGGAUAUAAAAAUCUUGGAGAAAACAACUCAUGGACUUUGCAAGUUAGUAUGCAUGAUGUCAUUCCCAGACGAAUAUCUGCUAUUUCGCGCAGAAGGAAAGAUUUGGAAUGGACCCGAUGGGGCGCAAGUGAGUCCCGAUUGCCCAUUUGUGGUCAGGCAGGUGGCGGAGCUGAAGAACAAAUCGUUCGAACAAGUGCGGCACGCGGUACUCAAGAAUUUUCAGCUCAACGAAGCCACACAUGAACUCACUUUGCAGCACAUCCUGUAUGUGAGGACCGAUCCUUCCGCUCCUCCAUACAAUCUGCUGAUUGACAUAGUAGGCGAGGAAUCAUGGAGGGCGUUUUUCAAGGUGGCAUGCCGCCAUGUCCGCUCCUUCAAGCUCUUCGCCAAAUGGACCGUCAAGAAGACAAGCUCUGCCUCCAAUGCGACUGACAGCAAUAUCACAACAGCUCUAGACGAAGAUCCCGCCGUAACGGAUGAAUCCGAUGAUGGGAGCUGGCCGGCUUGCAAGCACGAUAAGCCAUGCACCAUUGAAACUUCGUGGGACCGACAAGACCCGGGGCGAAGGUUCUACCGCUGCCCCUUCUUCGCUAAUCCUAAAGAAGACUGCAAAUUCACCAAAUGGUUGGACAAGAAGUUUCCUGAGAAGGCAAACGAACUCAUAAACAAAUACCAGGACACGGUUGAUUCACUCCAACAGCAAGUCGACAACCUCAAGUGUGAGCUUGAGGAACUCCGUCGCCGUCAUCGGAAAAGAUCCGCCGAAGAAGUUGUUGUCAUUCAUGGAGACAAGUGCCCCUGUGGCAAGAGCCUGUGCGACCUAACUUGUCGCGGCCGGGAGAAACAGACACGCCCAAGCCAAACACCAAGAUUGGCCAGGGACAAUUAG